AAUACACGUUAGCGUCGGUAACUUUACGGUCAAUUUGCGUUUAUCGACAGAAGAAUUAUCGUAUUGUGUUAAAGAAAAUCACUUUUUAAAAGUACACAUUUAAAGUUCAAUGGUCGUUAACUGAAUUAUUACCGGGAAUCAUCUGGGCGCUCUUACACAAGAUAGUAACCCUCCCUGACUUCCGUUUACAACAGGAAGUUUUUUUAUUCUUCCUGUUUACAUCCAAGAGCCUGCGAGCUAACAGCCUAAAAUAAUCGGCUGCAGGAUUUCUAACAAAAUGCCUGACAGUUGAUGAGUUUUGUGCGUUUCUUGUUGCUUCCUGCUGGUUUUUUGGGGGGGGACCAUGGCUUCAGCUCGCCGGUGUUGUCUCUGUUUACCGUCGCCAGUUGUUCUGCUGCUGCUGCUGCGGUGGCCCGGGCUGCUGGUGGCCGCAGAGCAGGUCGCUUUGGUGGAGGUUUUUCUGGAGCAGCAGCCCGCUGUUAGCGCCGUGCUCCAGGGGGAAGUGGUGGAGUCAAGCCGAGGUAGUAAGAGCUCAGAGACCCGGAACGAGGAGGAGGAAGAGCUGGAGGGGAACCUGGUGUUGGUUGGAGACGACGCGACGCAGCCGAGCGAAGGAAGAGACGGGGGAAAUGGCAACCGGCAGGAGCCGUGGAUUGGCGUUGUGCCGGUGGAGAUGGACGACAGCAAAGCCUCCACUGGGAACCAGGAGUCUUUUGCUGAUGCAGUGGUUAACAAAAUGAAGCGGGCGUUGGUCCUGGGAGCAUCGGCGCUGAUCAUCCUGGCUCUGAACCAAAACACAGCCAGCGAGAUGGAUUUGUCCCAGGUUCUGCUGUCCAAGCCCGUCAUUGUGAUCCAAACAUCAGAGAACGUCACCAAGCUGAUUGGAGCUCUGCUGAGGGGUCUUCGGGCGACGGCUAAAAUCACAUAUGAGACGAUCCUACAGGACAACUUGGGCGCCACGCUGACCCUGUGGUCCAGCUGCGGCCGGUCCAGAGGCGGCCUGUACGGAGAGUGGCAGGGGGUCAUCUGCACCGGCGAGAGCAACUCUCAGGUCCAGACGCCGUUUCUUCUUCUCUGGUGGUUUCCAGAAGUACCUGCAGCAGCUGUGGGACACCGUCCUGCUGGUGGCGCUGAUCCUCUGCACAGGCGUCAUCGUUCAGGCCCGCUGGCAGCACCAGGACGACAACGACAACCUAGAGCUUCUUCCCAAGCAGGACGUUCUGAAGAAAAUGUCGUCGCUGAAAACCAAAACGUAUCGUCGGCCCAAACGCUGGUGCGACCCGUCCCAGCAGACCGAGACGGAGAACUGCGCGGUCUGUCUGGAACCGUUCAACAACAACCAGUGUCUGCGGGUGCUGCCGUGCCUCCAUGAGUACCACAGGGACUGCAUCGACCCCUGGCUGUUGCUGCAGCACACCUGCCCUCUGUGCAAACGCAGCAUCCUCGGCGCCGUCCGCAGAGACAGCUAGCAGCCGCCGCGCCCGGACCGCAUCUCGACCGCGCCGCCCUCCCUGGGAGCGGAUCUGGACUCCAGGCGGCAGAAACUCUGCGUUUUGGAUUCCUGCUGAGCUCCUCCUGGGACGUCUGUUACGUUAAAACACGUGUGGAAUCUCUGCAGCUGAAGUCGGCUGCCCAAACGUUUCGACGUGUAAAAACUAUUUAUUCGCUCCAUGGACGACGACGAUGACUUCUUCUUCUUCCUCUUCCACACGCUGUUCACUUUAGCUCCUGAAUGAUGUCAGUAACAAACAUGUUCAUCUGAUUUAUUUCCUGCUAAAACCGCUUCUGCGCUUCUUGUUUGGAAAAUUAGCAGGUUUUUUUUCCAGGGUGAAAAGAUUAGCUUUAAAAAUCAUCCGUACUAAUACCUAAAUAUAAACGACAGCGGUGUGGAAAAGUGUUUGUCCUCUUCCUCAUUUUGUAUUUUUUUGCAUGUUUAUCACAGUUCUGUGUUUCAGGACAUCAAACCAAUUUAAGUAUUUAUAAAUGAAGGCGAUAGAAAUCCAGACGUUGACCUGGAUUUAUUUCUAAUGACUGAGUGAAAAAGUUUGGUCCAAAAGCCACAAACAAUCGAAACGGAUUUUAAAACAAACACUAAAGCUGUUUGUUUAUAAUCCUUCCACCCUGGAAAACGAAGAUCCAAACUGACCUGACGAGAGUUAAAGUGCUGUGCAAAAGUCUUUAAAAAAUGAUUUGUUAAAUUAAAGUGUAUUUAAGUGUAGUUUAUAAAGAUUUUAUAGUUAUUCUCUUAACUUUGGCUCCUUUUUUCAAAUCUCAUCUUUCCUUUGGUUUCAUGCUUCACAUUUUUAGCAGCAAUCUGGCAGACAGAUUAGUUCCUCUGUCGUUAAAUUUAAGGAAUUUACAGCAACCAAACCUGAAAUGAUCAAAUCUACACAAGAAAUUUCUACAUUAAGGUUUCAUAUUUAAAAGCGGUAAAAGUCAAACGUUUGUUUAAACUGAAUUUUCCUCGAUUAAAAACCAUAAAUUUAAAUUACUAAAACUAGAAUAUUACAAAGCCAGAUGUGAGUAUGAAAGAAUCCCAGGCUGGAACGAACCCUGAGUCUGGAUUAACUGGAGUAUCCAGACAGAGAACUGUCAUUUGCUGAACAUUAAGCCAAAAUUGUACAAAAAUAUGUAUUCAUUAAAGAAGAACUUCAUCUGUAAAAGUUUUACACAGAGCCAGUUUUACCUUCACCCAAUAAAAAGUCCAUAAAAAUCUGA